CAUUGCAGAGCUCUCACGUUUGAAAUGUUUGUAUUUAAAAGUCAGAUGCAGAGUUACUACAGCAGUGAAUUCCAGAAGAAAGUUGUGCUAUGCCUACCUCACUAUGGUUUUUUUGUACUUUACCACAUUUUUCCUUCAUUUUUUCCCAUGUAUAUUUUGAAACAAGUUCAAAAAAAAAAACCUAUUUUUUUCCCCUUCUCCUUUAACAUUUGUUAAUUACUUCUUUACCCCUCCCUUCUCUUCCUUGCACACCAGCUUUCAGACACUCUUGAAUUCUCUAGUGAUGGAUUCAUCAGAUAGAGUUAAGUUUCACUGAAGAAUAUUCUCUAUUUAUACAGUAAGCCUGCCUGAGAUCAGGAGUCAGCUGAUGACUGAGUGUUUGCCUGAGCCUGCAGUCACCACAGGGGCAUGAAGCAAAGUAUAUCGGAUCGCAACGAGUCAGCAUAACAGGGUUACCUGGCCAGAGAAUUGAGCUCCAGUUGGCUGUGGAGUUCACAAAACUUCAUUUAUGAUAUGGGACACUCAAGAAUUGUCUGUGUAACAAGAUCAGUGUCUGAGCUGCAAUUUCUUCACUCUGUUGUGGAGGCUCGAAGAAAGACAGAUCAGCUGGUCAAGCUUCCACGUCUCUUCUUGUCUUUGAAGACAGUCAUCAUCCUCGACCACUGAAUUUCUGAGAGAAAUGAAUUAUUUGUUCUAUGAAAAAAGGUCAAAACCUUAACUGUCAUAAGAGGUAAUCAAUUUGGCAGUUACUGUGACUUAACACCAGCUUGAGGAACGGUGCUAAAUUAUUUUGGGGAACCAGAAAUUCAUGUGAAUAGACAUAAUAUUUUUAGGUUUUUGGUUCUAAAUUACCACUCAGAUGGGAAGAGACUGGGAAGCUAUCUGAUGAUAAAUGUGAAAGUACGUUCUGGUUGUCAUCUUACUCUCAGUAAAAAAUAAUAUACUGGCAAAAAGAAAACUGCAAACCAACAAGCCCUGCCUCAGAAUUGGUAGUGACUGCCACACAAGGAGAUGGUACAUAGAAGGUGAAGAAAAAAAACCAACAACAAAUGAGAUGUUUCACUUCUUCCUUAGGGAGAUGAACAAGAAUUUGCAGUUCACCUCUCUCUACACUGGGGGAAUGACACAGAAGAAGCACCACUCCUGGUUCCACAGAUGCUGUAACAAGGACUCCGGUGUAUCACUUGGGCAUUUGAUGGGUGUUGUAGAAAGGUAUGUGCUCUGGAAGCUGUACACCUCCAUGGUCAUUCACUGAUAGAAGGUGGUGGGGAGGAAGAAAAGAGGAACAAGCUUUGAUCACUGGCAUCAUGUAAAUUCAAAGGGAAGUAAAUUAAAAUGCAAGAUAACAAAUUGAAGACCCAAGAAGGCUAAUGUGAAGGUAACACUGCGUCAGUCUCUGUUUCCAUUGUCAGAGGGCCAGAUGUGAACUCUUCUGGAAAUCCAGUGAAAGCAGACAUUGAAGUCAUGUGGGAAAUAGCACAAUGUUCCUCUGGCUGCCUUCAAGACGAAGUGACUUCUCUGUACUGGGAGUUGGUGGAAAGCAGGCAUAUAGGGUUCAUAAGUGCAUAAGGAUAUUUCUUUCCUUUAAACACAGAACAUUCUAGGAGACAGGAAAAGUUGACUUCCUCUGGGAACAGUAGGGCAGAAAGAAAAAUCAUCAUGUUUAUUUCUGGGCACUUCCUCCAAGGCUUUGCAGGUGACAGACCCAGUGAAAGCAUCCAUCUCCACUCUGUGCUCAGUAAGCAGAAAAUGAAACAGAAGAGUCAGUGUGACAUUGAGUGAUUUCAAGCUACUUGUAAAGGCAUGCAUUCAACCCGAGGCCAUCAGCUCAGGAGCCCUCACAACAAUAGGGGUAGGUUUUAAUAAAACUGCAGGCAGCAGAAUCCAAAGGGAUCUUGAACAAGACAAAUAACAAACGCAAGCCUUCUAAAGCGCAUGCUGCUCAUCAAGGUACAAAAGUUCCCCAAAGCUCUUUGUCAAGAUUUGAAGUUACUAUGAGUAUUCUUGCCUGCCCUUAAAUGUCUUUAACCCACCUCAGCUCAAGAAACGCCUUCCAAAAAUCUGCAGCAACAGAUUAUAAUUGUUUCUAUUCCUUUUCUGUUUGUUUUUUUUUUUUUCUAGGAUAGCUGGAUUAACUGUAUAAUCCUUUCCCAGUGUCUCGGUUGCCUCAAACAUUUUGCUCAAAACCAUUCAAGGGAGAGUGACAUAUAUGCAAAUCCUGGGGCUGCUGUCACUUUUACCUUGCACAAUUUGAACUGGUACUGCACUGAUGUUGGCAACUUAUAUAUAAAUGUAAAAUAUUUCAGAUGAGACUACCCAAAGCUGCACCAUGGUUGCUCACAACAUUUUGGCAUUGUGGGAAAUCAAAAACCAAAUCCGAGCUUCGCACGAUCCUGUUUCUCUUCCAAGAGUGGAAGAGCUGUAAUGGGAGGUAUGGGGAGUGGCUGAAUCCCUAGUGGGGGAGUAAGCCUCCAACCAGUGUGCAAGAGGCAAGCUCAGAAAUAUGCUGUCAGCAGUCGAGACACAGACUUCAGGUUGGGCCUUGUGCAUCUCUGUUGCAGGUUGUAAACUUCAGCUGCUGGGAUGAUUUUUCCAUUCUCUCUUUUACUGAGUCUGGGAAACAAAAUUCUGUUUUGCAAAAUCUCCUCUGAUUGUCACUUUUUCUUUUGAAUGUAUCUGUUCGGAUAUACUUUCUGCUGCAGCAGAGAUUAAUAGCAAAUUAUAUCUUUGAAGAGAGGAAUUUGAGGGAUUCUGCAGGAAAUUAGAGAAAACAAGAUUGUACAAGCCAGUGCUUUCUUGAGAGGGUGUCCUCACAUAUAUCUAAACAGUAGCUACGUAUGCAAUGAGAUACAAAGCAAAUGGAGAAAAGAAUGUUCUUGUUUCACAACCACUGCACCCUGUAGGUUUCCUCUCAUGUCCCUCAGAAAACAUGUUUAAAGGGAACCAGGAAUACGAUUUUCCCUUUUAUGGCAUAGUCUAUCUAUUAAGAAGGCAAAACGUUCCAACAAAUCUUAAGGUAUACAAAUGUACUGAGGAGAGAUUUGUGUGUCCUUUUCUCAGCAAAAACAACACAAAUGGGCUCUUUUUAACUUACUAAUCUGAAGAACACAGCCUUAUUGUUGAGAUACUGAAAAGUGACCUUGUCCAAAAAAUCUUAUCAUUUUUAGACUUCUCAAGCAAAGACACAGAGAGAUGGUAUAGCACAGGGGCAGCAUUGACUGUGUACCUCUGCAUGUGGUGUAUAUACACUGUCUUUUGAGGAAACUCUUAUUGCUCAUCUAAACAGUGAGCCUUUAGUAAGUCUUCCAGGGAGAAGUUCUUCCCUUACAAAUUUAGGAAAAGUUGGCUAUCCAGUAUAAGCAAGUCAUCUGAGCCCCAUUUGUGACCAGUGGAGAGACCCAAGCAUCUUUAAAAUCAAAUGGUCCUUCCUUUUUGACACAAAUUUCUGAAGUAAGUGGGGUAGAUUUUCCAUUUUGUUGCCUGUUCCCAUUGUCAGUAUGGGGAGCAUAGCAGGAGAAUUACGCAGGGCAGGAUAUUAGGCAAUUGUGUGACAAAACAGUGGAAAAUCCUCUCUUACUAUAUACUCUACUGUGUUUCAUCUAGAAACUAAAGACUUUUGUCACUCUCUCAUCCUUGCUAACAUGGCUUUAAAUAUAACUGUUUCUAACAAUGUUUGUAUUUUUUUUCAAUGUUGGUGUUUUGUUGUGUUUUUUUUUUUUAAGAAGUGUUGUAGGAAAUGCAUAUUUUUGAACAAAUUAACCUUUGAAAGAGCUAAGUUAAGUGACAGUGGGAAUAUAAUCAGAAAAGGCAAGCCUUGUAUCAUACACAGCAGUCAUAACUUCUGCAGUACAGGAUAAACACUGUAGGUGUGUGGCUUAUUUUACUGACAGGUGCAUAUAAGUGCAUGUGUGUAUGUAAGGAGGGAUACACAGGGUGUGGAAGGGUUUGGACUGGAUUGUAGGACAGUGACUUACUUAAAAUAAAGACUUGUAAACUGCCUCAUUAUGCUCUGAUCUAGAACAUACCUCAGAGAGAUCUGUGCCUUUAGCAUCCCCUCAGGUUGGGCAGAGAGUGCUCUGUGCCCUGAGGAGCUCUGGGGUCUUGUGCAGGCUUGCUUCAAAAUUCGUCCUUCCUUCAGGGAGUUUAUGUGCUAACAAGCUUUGAGGAGGACAGCUCGGAUAGAUAGAGUCUGUAGUCUUUUUGUCUAAAAAGGUUUUUUUCCAGCCAGCUACAGUUAAGUUGUAAUUUCUAGUGUGAUUAUCAGCUAAGCCCCAAACACUGGCAUUACAGUAAGAAUCUUAAUGCUUACAUUCCUAAACGCACCAGAAAUAUAUCUUCUUUGCAGUAAGGUUGGGCUACAGUUACUAUGGGAAUGUACUUUUGUGUGCUUUUUUUCUUUGCUUACUCUCUUUGCUAUUACAUUGUACCAAUUAAUUCUUUUGUAUAUCUAAACCCAGUGGGUUAAAUUUUCAGCCUGGAGCAGCUCAGUGUAACUCCAUAAGCAGCAUCACUGUGGUGUUAUUUUACACCACAGAGGACUUCACCUGCUAUGAAAAUGUGAGGAUCGCCAUCUAAAAUUGUUUAAUAAUGCUUGGCAACGUGCCAUAACAGCAUAUAAACCGAAAUGAAGAAAACAGCACAUCAGAUCGAUACCACAGGGAGAAGUAAACUUGGUGGAGUAUCAUUGGCUUACCUAAAUUGGGAUUUGGACAGACCUAUGGCAAUAAUGUAGCUAUCUUUCCUUACUAUGAUCAUUAACAAAUGAUUAAGUGAUCAAUAGUUCUUUACGUAAGCAAAGAUGACUAGUGUAAUUUGUGGCUUUUAAUUUCAAGUAUUUGUGUUUAUUACAUGAACAUCUGUGUGCUAUCCGUUCCUUUCAGAACAGCUCCAAUUUCAAGUUCCAAGUAUAAAAGAAUGAAAUUUAAUAUAAUUGUGGUCAUUUUAUUUUCUUCAAUAAAAGCAAUUGUUGCCUAUAGCUGGUUUCUG